UAAUGAUGGGUAGGGGAGCUUCCCAUACGGGUUGAAGCAUGACCGUAAGGACAUGUGGACAGUAUGGGAGUGAGAAUGUUGGCAUGAGUAGCGAGAUGUGGGUGAGAAUCCCACAGGCCGUAAACCCAAGGUUUCCAGGGGAAGGUUCGUCCGCCCUGGGUUAGUCGGGACCUAAGCUGAGGCCGAAAGGCGUAGGUGAUGGACAACAGGUUGAUAUUCCUGUACUACCGAUAACCGUUUGAGAGAAGGGAUGACACAGUAGGAUAAGCUAAGCACACUGUUGGUUAUGUGUGCCCAAGCAUUGAGGCAGUCAAAGCAGGCAAAUCCGCUUUGAUAAUGCUGGGAUGUGAUGGGGAGCGAAAUUUAGUAGCGAAGUAGCUGAUUUCACACUGUCAAGAAAAGUCUCUAUCGAGGUUAAAGGUACCCGUACCGCAAACCGACACAGGUGGGUGAGGAGAGUAUCCUAAGGCCAGCGAGAGAACUGUUGUUAAGGAACUCGGCAAAAUGACCCCGUAACUUAGGGAUAAGGGGUGCCACCAUCCGGUGGCCGCAGAGAAUAGGCCCAAGCGACUGUUUACCAAAAACAUAGGUUUCUGCUAAGUCGCAAGACGAUGUAUAGGAGCUGACGCCUGCCCGGUGCUGGAAGGUUAAGGGGAUCUGUUAGAGCAAUCGAAGCAGUGAACUUAAGCCCCAGUAAACGGCGGCCGUAACUAUAACGGUCCUAAGGUAGCGAAAUUCCUUGUCGGGUAAGUUCCGACCCGCACGAAAGGCGUAACGAUUUGGGCACUGUCUCAACAACAGACUCGGUGAAAUUGUAAUUCCGGUGAAGAUGCCGGAUACCUGCGACAGGACGGAAAGACCCCAUGGAGCUUUACUGUAGCUUGACAUUGGGUCUUGGUACUACAUGUACAGGAUAGGUGGGAGGCUUUGAAACCAGGACGCCAGUUUUGGCGGAGCCAUCCUUGGGAUACCACCCUUGUAGUACUGGGACUCUAACCAUAGGCCAUGAAUCUGGUCUUGGGACACUGUCAGGUGGGCAGUUUGACUGGGGCGGUCGCCUCCCAAAAGGUAACGGAGGCGCUCAAAGGUUCUCUCAGUACGGUCGGAAAUCGUACGUAGAGUGUAAAGGCAAAAGAGAGCUUGAUUGCAAGACAUACAGGUCGAGCAAGGAUGAAAAUCGGACUUAGUGAUCCGGUGGUUCUGCGUGGAAGGGCCAUCGCUCAACGGAUAAAAGCUACCCUGGGGAUAACAGGCUUAUCUCCCCCAAGAGUCCACAUCGACGGGGAGGUUUGGCACCUCGAUGUCGGCUCAUCACAUCCUGGGGCUGUAGUAGGUCCCAAGGGUUGGGCUGUUCGCCCAUUAAAGUGGUACGCGAGCUGGGUUCAGAACGUCGUGAGACAGUUCGGUCCCUAUCCGUCGCAGGCGUAGGAAAUUUGAGAAGACCUGUCCUUAGUACGAGAGGACCGGGAUGGACGUACCUCUGGUGUACCAGUUGUUCUGCCAAGGGCAUGGCUGGGUAGCUAUGUACGGAAUGGAUAAGCGCUGAAAGCAUCUAAGCGCGAAGCCAACUUCAAGAUAAGAUUUCCCACCGCAAGGGUAAGACCCCAGAAAGACUAUCUGGUUGAUAGGUCGAAGGUGUAAGUGCAGCAAUGUAUUUAGCUUAUCGAUACUAAUA
rnacentral:rRNA from 1 species